GAGAGGAACUCAAAAAUGAUGUUUGGGCUGCAGUUAGUUCUCUUUGCAACUGUCUUUAGAGGUAUUCGGUUGGAGGUCCAGUUGGUGGAAUCUGGAGGAGACACUAAACGACCCGGUCAGUCCCUCCACCUCUCCUGCCGGUACUCCGGAACCACGUUCAGGAGAGAUGAAAUGCACUGGGUGAGACAAACUCCUGGGAAAGGACUGGAAUGGGUUGCAUGGGUAGACAACACGGGCGAUCAAAGCCCCACGUACUAUGCUGAUUCGGUGAGAGGUCGCUUCACCAUCUCCCGGCGAGAUGCCUCCAACAUGAUUUCCCUGCAAAUGAACUCCCUUAAACCUGAAGACUCUGCUUUCUAUUACUGUGCGAGAGAGCCAGCCACACACAACGUCCACUCCACUGUCCAACUUGUGGAAUCUGGGCCAGGAACAGUGAGCCCUGGAGGAUCCUUCAGAUUAACUUGCAAAGUGACGGGGGACUCCAUCAAGAAAGUGUGGUGGGACUGGAUCCGCCAGGCUCCAGGAAAAGGAUUGGAAUGGGUGGGCGAGAUAGACUGGGAUGCUAACAAGUGGAGGACAUUCUAUGCCUCUUCCCUCCAAAGCCGGACAACUUUGACUGCUGAUGACUCCCUUUUCUCAAGCACUGGCUGCAACAUCCUUGUCAUGGACAAGGAUUAA